CAGCGUUAGAACCGCGCGAGGUGGGGGAUAAGGGGCACAACCGAGGAAGCAGCGCCCCACCCGGCUCCCCGGGCUGGGAGGCCCCGAAUUGAGGGUUCCACCUGCAGGAUCACGCACCUCUGGCCCUGUGCUCAAGGCAUGCCGUCGGUGUAGGCAGCCUUGGCCGGGUUGCCUCUCGGUCACGCUGAACCUGACGGAGGUCGCCAGACCCUGGACUGCCUCGUCCUGGGUUCUCGCGUCGCUGGGAAUGUUGUACGGGUAACACUACUUGAGCGGAGAAGAUCCAUGCUCUCCCUACGCCCCCAUUCGGACGGCUGGGGGACUUACCACCCUCUGCCUGGGAGAAUCUUCGGUCCCUGGAAAAAAAGAGUCCAUUCACUCUCUACAAUUUCUAUACCAUAUCUUCAUUAAAAUGUCAGAAGGAUACACCCUAAAAUUGGAGACCAGAGCACUGGGGGUAAGGACUAAGUGCUACUUAGGUUAAUAAAUGGCCGUGCAAAUCAUGAAUGGCCUGUUUUACUGCGCGUUGGGCUUUCUCUGUUUUGCAUUAUUUGUCGAAGAAGAGAACAGAGAAGCUACUGGUUAUAUCCCUGUCAUUGUUACACUAACUUACGUAUUUUGUUCAUCAACAUUUUUCAUCAGCUCGGGCUCCAUCAGCGUACAAGCACAGAAGCAUCCUACAAAAUCCAAGCUGAUUGCUAGCAUGGUUAUGAACAUCCUAAGUGCCUGUUUUUCUGUACUUGGUAUAAUGAUAUUAAGUAUUGCAAGUUUAACGUAUUAUCCAGACACCAAUGAAUACCUGUGGUCACAUAUAGCUGGUAGUAUGCUUUUACAAUAUGUACUCUUCACCACGAUCGUGGAAGUGAUCUGUGCAUACAUGACUGUCAAGUGGAUUGAAGCAGCAAUGCGUCCUGUAGAAUGCAGUGAGAUAAGUCCAUAGCUGUCGCAGUGCAGUGUCUCCACACAACUCACAAAGAACCAGUGUGACUCCCACCAAGAACGAAAGAUUAAUCGUGAACUGGGGAAGAACUCCGCGAUUGUUCUCAAGAGGCCUCACGGAAAAUACAGGCUACUGAAGUCCUUCCCAGCGCGCCUUCUCCCUACUCCUUCAGUAAAGGAUGCAAUCUGAUCACAA